rnacentral:lncRNA from 1 species
UUUAAAAAGAAUACAUACAUAUACACAUGGCCAAAAAGAAGUAAAAUGAAGUACUGAAUUAGUGGUCUACGGACUAUAAGAUUAUGGGUGAUUUUUACCAUCUCAAUCUUUUUCUAUUUUCCAAAUUUUCUUCAAUAGUAAUACUUAUAUUCUCAGAAAAUCUCCUAGUAACAGUUACAUUUAAAAGGAAAAAACAUCUUCAGCUGGAUCCACAUUGCUGUCUCCAUCUUUGUUCAAAUCUGUGGCUGUGUUUCCUACAGCCCAGCUUCCACCAUUGCCUGAACAUAGCAUAUUCCUGCUCUGCAGCUAUGGGUCUGUGAGGCUUCCCUCAGCAUCUCAAAGCCUGCCCUCAACAUUUACUACGCAAAGCACUAAUCUGACACAACAUAUGCUGCCUUUAGCUCUCAUCUUCUCUGUCCAAUUCACUGUUUUCUGGUUUUUUGUCCUUCCCCACAGCACCACGCACAGCAUCAUCCUAUACAGGAAUGUAAUAUUUGUUGACUGCCCAGAAUGAACAAGUUAUUCCAAUAUAAGGGCCACAAUUUGGUUCUGAGAAGAACAGCAUACCCAUGAUCUCUUGGGUCUCUGCUGUUUUUCAGCCAAAAGCUGCUGCCAUACUUCCCAGUUUGAACCACGGACUGAUAGGGCAGGGAAGAGAAGUGGAGAGGAGGUCUAGCUCAACCCCUGAAAUGAACACUGAGUUCUAAAGGUCCAGAGAGAUUCUCUGAGAGUCUCAGAGAAUCUGAGCCAGGCCUGGAAACACGAUGGCUCUAGAUUCAGUGGUCUUAUUCCCAGUCUGUUCUAUGGCAGCUCCCUCCAAGAGCUCUUCUCCCUAACUCUUCAAAGAAUGUAAACUGGCUAAUUAAGUCUGGAAAUGUCCACUCGAUUUCCUGAAUGUCCAUUUGGCAGGCUGGAAAAAAUUAAUUUGGGGUUGCCAUUGUGUUUUUCACUCUGUAUAAUUUAACCGUUAAAUAUCAAAGGUUCACUGAAGUAAAUGAAAGUAGUUUUUAAGCUUAACGGUUAGACACUUUAAAAAUUGUUUUCAAGGCAGCACAGCACAAAGGCCAGAAUCAUCUGAUCACAAAUUCCUCCCAGGGAUAUAAAAUUAAAAGCAUAAUUCAGUGUACUUGUAAGGCUACAUCUUCCCUUCUCACAUCCUUGGAAUAAAUGAAUGCAGACCUGAGUGAAGCCAGGGUGCAUAACAUGUGCUUAUGAGCCAGCCUGAAAAGUACACAUUUCACAACUCCAGGAAGACAUAUUAAAGUCACUGAUGAAUAAUUAUUCUGAUAAAGCUCUAAGAUCCUAUGAGGUUAGGCUGUGAUUUGAGUUGACAGCUUUGCUUAUAAACAUUGGUUCUAAAAAAUACCAAUUAAUGAUUCAUUUGAAUCCUGCUUUGCUCUGAUACUGUCCAAAUUCUGGCAUUUCAUGUCAUGUCGUCGUCUUUUACCAUAUAAACUUCAGUUUUAUCAAGGCAAAGACAGUAAAAAAUACUUUCAAGUAAAAAUAAUACAAAUAACAAAGGAUCUAUUUUACUGUUGUGAACUCUGACAAUUUCCUCUUUGCAUUAAAAAAGAUAAUAAGUGUCAAACCAGUUAUUAUAACACAUGACAGCUUCAGAAUAGAGACAGCGUAUCCAGCUUUAUAUUAUUCAGUAUAGACACAUGGGAAAAGAGCAAACAGUUUUUCUAACAGAUUUCUCUGCCUCAAUGCCAAUAUGGCAAAUAAUCAUAGGAAAAUGUUAUUACUAUACCUAAUUUUCCCUUGGAGCUUUUAAAUAGAAACUUUUGUUAACUGAUUUUUAAAAUAUGCACAGGGAGUGAGGACAGCAACAACACUACAUGGGGCCCUGCCAGUGACAUUCAGGCUUCAGAGAGGUGACACCUGGGAUGGGUGGGGUUCUGAAGAUUAAUAAGGGCUGAGGACCAGGGGAUGCAUCACAAAGACAGAUGUCUAUCCUAAAAGGGAAGAGCUCCUGAAAUGGCAUGAAUUCCACUGAGGGAGAAGUUGGGGAAAUGAAAUGAGAAAGCUUAAUCUGCGCUUUCUUUCUCUAAUUACUGGGGAUGACAAUCAAAAUUAGAGGAGAGUAAAGUAAUCCAGAUGUACAAGGAACAGAAGCAAAAUGAAGUAGUUAAAAGACAUUUUAUUAGAGACUAAGAGCGAUUCACUUCAACUAAGUGUUACCUAGUACCUACUAUGUGCUAGCUGUAACAUCGAAAUACAAUUGAAUAGACAGGGCUUAUUUUGUAAGAGCAAACUCUCAUCUACAGGACAUGCCAGGGGCAGAAUCAUGCUUACAAUAAGAUGCUCAGAAGCAAGACUGUCUUUUCCUUUAUACCUAAAAAAGCUUGUUUAGCAAACAGAGUUAUCUUUAUCUGAAAUGCUUCUAAUCCUGUGCUUUGUAUUUAUAUCCAUACCUUUUAGAUAAGACCUACUUUAUUGCCAAUUCUCACAUUUUACUGAGCUAACGAGCAGUAUCUAUAUUUGCUGAUUUUAUUUUCUGUCACCCUAGUGUUAUCAUAACUUAAUGCUAUCAGGGAAUAGGAAAGAAUCAAUGCUGAUUAUAGUUAAGAAAGCGAGGAUGAAAGCAAUACGAACUGGGGGUAUUUGAAUUUGUAAAGCCUCUACAGGAGGUCUUCUUAUCCUCGAGUCAUUUAAGAAUUACUCACUUAACUCAAACUGAGCAACGAUGCCACGAACACAUCAAGUAAAGCCAUCAGUGGCUCUGUGGUGAGGCAGCAUGGUUUAGUGGAAAGACAAUUCACACAAGGUCUUUAGAGUCAGGUGAACCCGUUUUUGAAAUCUGGCCCCAUCACUUUUUAAAAACGGUGCAACCUCUCUGGGCUUCAAUUUCUUCAUCUGUAAGAAUGAGAAUACCCCUGCUGCCACAGGGAUGUUAUACAGGAUUAGGUAAGACAAAAAGCAUGUGUGAGUGCCUAAGAGGAAGCAGCAUGUGGUCAAUACAUGCUGUUUCCUCUCUUUUCCCUCAACUGCUUCCUACCAGGAAGGGGGAGGGGGUCAGAAGUUUAAAAAUUUUACCACCAGUCUCUGAUUACGUGCGUAUAUAUGUGAGGAGAAACAUGUGCAAAGGAAGGUUAUAUAUUUCUGAGUACUGGGCUCUCAUGAGCUUUGCCACCUUUAAAAUAUUUUGGUUUUAUUUUAUUGAUUUUGACUAUCAUAUUAGCUUACUCAUAUAUAUCAUCUGACACAUCCAUUUACUGGUCUUUUAAGCAUCUCUGGGCAUGUGGAUGCUUGAAAAAUAGUUUAUUAGUAUGAUUUGACUAUCUCUAUCUUGUCUCCUAUUUUUUUUAGAGAAUUACAUGGCCGGCAGUGAGGAUGGUGUCAAAUCUCAUCAGUCAUCUACAACCACUUUCUCUGACCCUUUCUGCAUCAUUGAAUUUGACUCCCUUUCUUCCCAUACUCUCCUUAGAGGACCUAAGAGGAAAUGUGCAUGGGCAGACAAAACAGAAAACUAAAGGAGGGAAGAUAAGUGGGUUCUUGGCUUCCGGAAGGAUUCUGACCUACUUCACUUGCCUUCAAAUUCUGUGUGAAUUUAUUUCAGAAGCUACAGGGAAGAGCUAAGAACUCCUGUUUUCCUUGGAGAAGGGAAGAAACAAAUGCCAGAUUAAAACUCAGAGGAAACUCUGGAAAUUAUAAGCGAGGCUGCUACUAUAUAAUGACCAAGUCGCCUUGGUAUGUCUUGUGAGCUAAAAUUCCAUUUCACUUUUAUCAUAUAUAAAACCAGGAUUAUAGCUCCAGGAGGAGCUACAAUCUGUGUUCUCUUUGGUCUAUCUGAACAUCCCAAAUAGUAUCACAGUCUACCUGAAGAAGUGCUGCUGAAAUAGACUGACAAUGCUUCAAUUAUUUUGGCUGCAGGCAAAGACAAAAUAAGUCUCAGGAGUUCUCCAAAAGCUCAAAAAGUUCUCUGUAAACUAUGCUGUUAUCAAAUGGAAACUACAAGAACGCGACCAACACCACAGGAGGAGAGAUUUCCCUGGGCUUUGCUCUGGCUAUGAAAGAGUUUCCAAAUAUACAAUGAAAAGUCAGUGGAACCUGACAGGCGCCCAAUGUGGAGCACAGGGGUUCAGACACACAACCCCUCCAGCUCCUCUCCCGACGGCUUCCCACCCACUGAGCACUGGCCAAACCCUGGUUAAGCGAGCACUGACCUUCCUGUUUAUCUGAUAAUCCACACAGUGUAGAUGGGAAAAAAUUGAAAGAUAGAAAGGAGGAAGCAUAAAAAAAAUCAUUUCCUCAAUGUUAGUAAAAACAUAAAUUGGUUACAUGACAAACAUGAGGUGGUGACUAUGUUAAUGGUACAAUGGCAAAGUUAUUACAAUCUUUGGAAGAAAAAAAAAAUCCCAUUUCUUCACAACUUUCCAACAUUUUAAAAUCCAAGCCCAGGCUUGAAUCACUGCUUUAUGAGGUAACACUCCCUUUCUGACUGCAUCCGUGUGACUGGGCCACCAAGUCCCACUGAUGUAGUUGGUAUUACUACUGCUCAAUCAACACCUCUCAGAACAACAACUUUCACUUCAGAAUCCAAGCCUCAAGUUAUAGGGGGCACUAAAAUCUUUUUUUAUUUUUAUUUUUAUUUUUAAAAGACAGGAUCUGGCUCUGUCGCCCAGGCUAGAGUGCAGUGGCGUGAUCUCGGCUCACUGCAACCUCCACCUCUCGGGCUCAAGCAAUCCCGCUGCCUCAGCCUCCUGAGUAGCUGGGACUACAGGUGUGCACCACCAUGCCCAGCUAACUUUUGUAUUUUUGGUAGAGAAAGGGUUCCGUCAUGUUGCCCAGGCUGGUCUGGAACUCCUGGGCUCAAGCGAUCCUCCUGCCUCGGCCUCCCAAGGUGUGGAGAUUACAGGCAUGAGUCACUAUGCCCAGAUGAGCACUAAAAUCUUUAAAUAAACGCUCUUUUCUAUAGACUGCUAAGAGAAAUAGAAGGGAAAAAAGCAAUACAAUACUUAAGAUUUACUGGAGAAGUACUACUGGGAAUUGAGGGGAGAGUGUACUCUUUGGAAACAGAUAAACGUAGCUCUGAAACCCUGCCUUGCUCCUUGCUAGCUGCAUGAUUCUGAGCAAGCUUCUUGAUACUCAGCUUCCUCAUCCAUAAAUACGGGGAGCAAUGCACUUCCUUUGCAGGGCUCUUGUGGGCUGAGAGACAGCAUGCAUUCAACACUCAGAGUACCUCUCCUUUGUCGGUGCUCAAUAAACAGUAGCUCAUCUCUGCCAUUCCUGGAGUUAAGGCAGAAGACCCACAGUACAGCACUCUGCUUAGGAGCUCUUAUGAAAGUGUAGGUCAGAUUGGUGCAAGUCCUGUCAAAUGGGCAUUGGUGGGUUACACAAUCUGCUUUUAGCCUCUCAUUUAAAUUAAGCAUGGGCCAGAACAUCAAACUCUUUUCAAGAAAUCAGUGCUGUAACUGGGACCCUGAGACUACCUCCAUGCAAAGUAGUAUAUAAGUAAAAAGCUCUAAUUUUGCUUGUAGCUCAGCUAUAGAACACGCCAAAACCCCCCACCAAACCCACUGUUCUAAGUAAUGGAAGUGUACUCUGAGAACCAUCUGAAAAGAAGCCUGACAACUUGCCUGUCUUAUUCCCCACCUGACCUCAAUCUUUCUUCCUCUGAGUGGAUGAUUCCAGUGCCAGUUUUAGAUCCAGUGCCUACCCAAGAUUUGGCGCUUCCCAAACAGACUGUAGUGUUGGUAGACAGCAUAUAGCCAUCACACAGGCUGACACUAAGAGAUAGUGGGUAUGAAUGUGCGCUCUGUGCAAAAUCCUCAUGGGGAAGGAAGGCAACACCUGGGUACCUUUGGCAAUGUAAAAAUUCCCUUCUUUUAAAAAUGCUCUUUAAACAAAGAGCUUUAUAUCUAGACUCAAAAAUGCCUUUCCAUCAGUAUCAGCUUCUCCCAGGUAAAAGGAAGUGAAGACAGAAACAAUGGAAAUCCCAUUGAGUAGGGAGAGGCAAAACAGAAAGGUUUAUUCUAACGUGAGAGGAGCCCAUGAUGAUGUGAAAGGGAAAGAAGAGAGAAGAAUGGCAUAUAACCUGGAAGAUUCAAGUACAUUCACAGAUAGAUACUUUCCCAAGGUGUGCAGGAAUCUAGCCCUUCUUCAAGGAGACAACCAUAGCAUCAUAUAAUUCAAAUUAAUUCCUUUCUGAAUGAGAGCUGAGUAACAAAGACAAAACUUGGCAAGAUGGCACAGCACAGUGAGUGCAAAAUUGUAUUCCCAGUUGAUACUUGGUGAGAUGUUAGGUUGUCAGCUUAAUGUAAAAUAAAAUGAGGCCGCACAUCGUAAAGUGUUUUGAAAAGUAAAAAUCCAAGGGAGAUAGGAAGGCAGCAUUUUAAUGAGUCUAGAGAAAAUGAAUUCCAGGGUGAGCAGCUCUGCUCACGACCUCUUUUCAGUUGGUAUCCCAUAGGCCUCUGGGAAGCGGGGCACAUGAGGGAGGGGCCAGUGCCUGCCUCCACACUACCCCCUCUCCCCUAAUGAGGCUGGCAGCACCAUUUGCUAGCACCUGGCAGAUGAGAGAGAAAGAAAACCUGGUGUGGAGACCCCCAUCCAUUAAAGGCAAGAGAGUGAAAAGUGGGAGAGAAAGCUCCCAAGUUCAACAGCAGUGACCUAGGGUCAUGCAGUGAGGACUUACAAAGUCCAAGAAGAAAGCAUUUGGAGAAGUGCUACACAUGCUCAACUGAACUUCCUGUCAAAUUGUUCUCACUCGUUUGGGCACAAGUCUGCUUAAGCCAUCUCUCAUUAACAUUUACUCUUGCCCGAAGCCCUCUACGCCCCCAACCCCUGCUAAUCUUCCACAAGCAAGCUGAUCACACUGGGAUCUCCUUUUCCCAGACACGUUUGAUUCUCACUUUCUCCUGAACCUAGAAAUGUGCUUCCCACCAAAGCAUGCCAGGCACUAACUCGUCCCUACUGAAAGGGGCUGUUAAAAGCUCAUCUUCUUUCCAGAUGGUAGUGAGGUGUGAGGUGAUCCUUUCUCUUUCUUUUUUUUUUUUUUUUACUUUUAGCUACCCCUCAAUUCUGGUGUUCAGUAACAAUGUAUUCCACUUAAAAGAGAGAAAUCAUAUUAAUUAUUCUAAGAUAUAAACACUUAAUUUUAUUCAUGCUCUUGAAUUACUUUCCUUUCUACCGCAUGUUUGUGUAGCUGUUAUAUGAGUCCUUUCUACUGAUGUAGCUGUCAUUCCUUCAACUCAGUUCUUGCCAAACACUGAGCUAUGUCUGGAGAUACAAAGAUAACUACUCUUGUUGAAGAGAUGCCAGUUUAGUGGGGGAGACAGACAUGUAAACAGAUCUGUAUCUGAGAUAGAUGGCCUGGGUAGGAAAAGAAUAUAUAUAGCACAAAUAACUCAGUGGACCUGCAAAAACAGAGCUUGAGGCCAUGAUAUACCACAAAGACCCACCAAGGCACAAGCACUGUCAACAUGAAGGUAAGGCUUCCAUUUUUGCCUCUUUCAAUCUGGGUACAUCUAUUCUACAUACUCUGCCUUUCCUCCUGUUACAGGAAAAGAAGGAACCUCAAUUCUACCUAAAGUCAAUCUUCUCCUUGAGCUAGAGAUCCAGCCCCUCUCCCAUAAUGAGGUACACGGCCCCUACAAAGAUCCACUCUCCUGCAUUAUCAAAUCCUCCCUCCCUGUGGUAUCAUUCCAGUCCACACACACACAUACCUUAACAUCAUCCUCCCUUGACCCUAGGUCCCCCUCCAUCCUCUUCAUCAUUUCUCUGCUUCCCCUCCCAGUGAUACUUUAUCUUCUACAUGUAUUGCUACCCCUAUUCCCUCAGCCUCUAUUCCCUUCUCCCUUGACUCCACUGAAAUGGCUCUUAAAGGACGCCACUAAGCUCUAUCUUGCUACAACCAGGAGUCGAUUUUCUGUUACCUACUGCCCUCUCCCAUCUCCCCUCCUCAUACCGAAAGACUGACUUUUUAAGACUUCCAUGAAAAUGUUGUCCUUGUUUUCUUCCUGCCUCACUGGCAGCUCCUUCCCAGUCUCUUGUAUUCACUUUUCCUUGCCCACCUGCUGUCUGGUCUUCCCUAUAGUCCAUUCUCACACUAGAUCACACUAGAGUUAUCUUUCAAAAAUCUCAACUACCAUCACCUGGUUUAAACCCUUCUAUGGUUUCCCAUCAUCCUUAGAAUUCGACACUAUCAAGUCCCUGUAGGACAUGGCUCCUGUCUAUCUGUCUGCCCUCAUUGCUAAACAUACCUUCCUCCCAACACCCUACAGACUAUCUACCCACCAGAUUUCAGAAACACAUGGCCUUCUUUCUGUUCCUCAAAAACCCCAAGCUAGUUUCUACUUCACAGCCUUUACUCUUGCUGUUCCCUAGCCUGGAACACUUCUCCCUUAGAUUGCUGCAUAGCCAAGCCAACUUCUUGUAAUUCAAGUUUUGGCUCAACUCACUUCCUCAGAAAGGCCUUCCCUGACCGUUCUGCUCAAGUGCUCCUUCCCCAAACUCAACCACUGGCUAGCUUAUUCCCCCAUUCCAAUUUUGUCAAACUAUGACUAGUCAGUAUCACAUUUAUUUCUUUACAUCUCAUUUUUCUCUCUCUCCUACUACAAUGUAAACUGCGUUAAGCAACAACUUAAUCUCGUUUACUGCUAUAUGUCUACUUCCAGGCACAGUGUUUAGUAUAUUGUGGGUGCUCCGUAAACAUUUUACUCAAUGGAUAAAUGAAAUGACGAUGAAAUCCUUGUUUAGAAUCCUGUGUUCAGCUCUUUGCUCUUCAACUGUAGACAUGCACAGAAGCAUAAAGAAUAGAAAAGUUUAAGCAUGUUUUAAAGAAUCAUACCUUUCACCGAAACCGACAAAGCAACUCUAUAUAAUGUCAAGAACAAUGGCUGUGGCCUUGCAUCUUGUUUCCACCGCUACAGAUCAAAACAGGCAAAUAACAUCUCUGUGUUUCGUUUCUUCAUCUAUGAAAUGAAGAUAAUUGUUCCCAUCUCAUGGGAAUGUGGUGAGGAUUCAUUGUAAUGAUGCAAAUGAAAUAACUAAGCCUGACUGCCUGAAACUCACACGGGAGAUCUUCAAAGAAUGUUAGUUCUCUUCUCCAUCUAUUCUUACCAACAAAAGAAUGCAGAAGACCUAUUUUCACCAGAAGGAGGACUGGAACCAGAGUUAGCAGGUAUGGAGUCACAUGGGUGAAUCAAUAAAACCCACUCAAAAUUUCAUCUAUGAAAAACCUGUCCUUCUUUAUUAUACAUUAGAAGACCCAAAGAUGGUUCUGGAAGCAAACACACUGAAUUCUGGAAAGGGGAGGAAAAGGAACAGAAUUGGCAUUUGUUAUGUGCUUCAUGUGCUACUGGUUGCACCCAGCUUUUCUAUACAUAAUCGUAUUACUUAAGGCACCACAGAACUCUAUACAGCAGUUAGAACUGUGAUGGAACCAGUGAGGCUGGCUUCCUCUUAUCCAAGUAUGACUGGAGGACAGGGC